GAUGAAGAACGCAGCGAAAUGCGAUAAGUAAUGUGAAUUGCAGAAUUCAGUGAAUCAUCGAAUCUUUGAACGCACCUUGCGCUCCUUGGUAUUCCGAGGAGCAUGCCUGUUUGAGUGUCAUUAAAUUCUCAACCUUAUUGGCUUUUGCUGAUAAUGGCUUGGACUUGGGGGUCUUUUUGCUGGCUUUCAUUACUCUGCUCCCCUUAAAUGUAUUAGCCGGUGCCCCGCAGUGGAACCGUCUAUUGGUGUGAUAAUUAUCUACGCCGUGGACGUCUGCUAUAAUGGGUUUGCGCUGCUUCUAACCGUCUCUCGGGACAACACAAAUGACAAUUUGACCUCAAAUCAGGUAGGACUACCCGCUGAACUUAAGCAUAUCAAUAAGCGGAGGA
rnacentral:misc_RNA from 1 species